rnacentral:lncRNA from 1 species
GCAUCUCGCGGGCCUGUAAUUUGGGUCAUAUCUGCCUCACCAAUCACUCACUUUAUGUUUCUGGACCUUGGAGAGGCUGGGACGCCAUAUUAAUAAUGAUGGAUGAACGAGAGCAGACUAGUGCGGGCCUGUCCACUAACAAAGGUAAGUGCCAGAUUAGGUGUUUUUGUUCGCGUUUUGCUCUCUUCUCGACCACAAGAAAUACGUUUUCCAUAGUUCUAGUCGAGUUUUUUGAUCGCUU